rnacentral:lncRNA from 1 species
CACCAUCAGACUCAUAGUUAGUAGUCAUCGUCCCGUGGAUCAUGAUCCUCUAAUGCAUACUUGCAGAUAAUUUUCAGCAUUCUCCAAAGUUUUCUCCAAGGAUACGCUUACACGCCCCUUCCCCAUGGUAUAUGCAGACUCCACCCGGCGCACGACCUCGGCAUAAAGAGCCUCUAGUCCAUCAAAUUCAGCAGGAUCCACUUUUGCGAAAAUGGUGUCUAUACGACCACCAGGCUUCCUUUUUAUGACAUACAGACAAUUUGGAUCUCUUUUGGUGCCUGAAGAUGAUCCUUCUUCUCC